rnacentral:rRNA from 1 species
UACAGAGGUGGCAAGCGUUGUUCGGAAUUACUGGGCGUAAAGGGCGCGUAGGCGCCUUGUAAGUCCUGUGUGAAAUCCCCCGGCUCAACUGGGGAACUGCACAGGAGACUGCUUGGCUUGAGUUCGGGAGAGGGAAGCGGAAUUCCGGGUGUAGCGGUGGAAAUGCGUAGAUAUCAAGAGGAACACCAGUGGCGAAGGCGGCUCACUGGCCCGGUACUGACGCUGAGGUGCGAAAGCGUGGGGAGCAAACAGG